GACGAACGCUGGCGGCGUGCUUAACACAUGCAAGUCGAACGCUGAGGCUCAGCUUUUGUUGGGUGGAUGAGUGGCGAACGGGUGAGUAACACGUGAGUAACCUGCCCCCUUCUUUGGGAUAACGCCCGGAAACGGGUGCUAAUACUGGAUAUUCACUGGUCUUCGCAUGGGGGUUGGUGGAAAGGGUUUUUCUGGUGGGGGAUGGGCUCGCGGCCUAUCAGCUUGUUGGUGGGGUGAUGGCCUACCAAGGCUUUGACGGGUAGCCGGCCUGAGAGGGUGACCGGUCACAUUGGGACUGAGAUACGGCCCAGACUCCUACGGGAGGCAGCAGUGGGGAAUAUUGCACAAUGGGCGCAAGCCUGAUGCAGCGACGCCGCGUGAGGGAUGGAGGCCUCGGGUUGUGAACCUCUUUCGCUCAUGGUCAAGCCGCAACAAUGGUUGUGGUGAGGGUAGUGGGUAAAGAAGCGCCGGCUAACUACGUG
rnacentral:rRNA from 1 species